GAUGAACGCUGGCGGCGUGCCUAAUACAUGCAAGUCGAGCGAACGGACCAGAAGCUUGCUUCUCUGAUGUUAGCGGCGGACGGGUGAGUAACACGUGGAUAACCUACCUAUAAGACUGGGAUAACUUCGGGAAACCGGAGCUAAUACCGGAUGAUAUUUUGAACCGCAUGGGUCAAAAGUGAAAGACGGUCUUGCUGUCACUUAUAGAUGGAUCCGCGCUGCAUUAGCUAGUUGGUAAGGUAACGGCUUACCAAGGCAACGAUGCAUAGCCGACCUGAGAGGGUGAUCGGCCACACUGGAACUGAGGCAGGGUCCAGACUCCUACGGGAGGCAGCAGUAGGGAAUCUUACGCAAUGGGCGAAAGCCUGACGGAGCAACGCCGCGUGAGUGAUGAAGGUCUUCGGAUCGUAAAACUCUGUUAUUAGGGAAGAACAUAUGUGUAAGUAACUGUGAACAUAUUGACGGUACCUAAUCAGAAAGCCACGGCUAACUACGUG
rnacentral:rRNA from 1 species